UUACAGACGACCAUUGAUUUGUUCAGCAAAUAGAGAUGAAAGCUUUAGAGAUGGACUGUUGCCUGUAUUUCUGCUCAACAUGCAAGAGGUUCCAGGGAUCUCCAUUUUGAAAAGGGCAGCAGUAUUCCUGAUGGGAAGAUUUUUUCUCACACACUGGCAAUUCUACAUUUUGCUGGAUCAGCUCCAGGAGAGACAAGUUAAUGCCCCGUGUAGUUUGUUUUCAUAUUGAGCAAACCCUGCUGAGAAACUGGAAAAUAGAGAUUUAAACUGAUAAGCUUGCAAAAGACAGCUGACUCAUCAAGUGUCAUGAAACAAGGAUUCCCACACUGUGAUACACCUGAAAGUGUUGAACUUGUACGAGCCUAAUCCCCCACCCUUCUCCUUGAGGUGUUGGGGAAUCACAAGAUGCUCCUUCUUAGGGGAGACUUCUACCUCCCCAUCACAGUAUGAGGCCUUCCUUCUAGCAACUGUGCCCGACCACAUGAAGAUGACCCAAACCACAGCACUGGUGUUAUGUUUGCAAACGGAGAUGAGAUUAGACAGACCAGCAAGCUCCAUACCUGCUCUGGAUGAGAACAGGAUCGUUGUAUGUGACACUACUUAAUUUAGAUCUGAUCAAAGUUCAGAGUGCGAUUUUUGGAGUCAAACAUGCGAAAGAACUUAAUUCAGAAGUAGCUUACAGGGAUUACUAGAUUGCUACUUUGAAACAGACUGAGUAAAUACUAAUCUCACUUUGCACCAGGAAAAGACUGAAAUUAUAAAAGUGGGUUUGGAUCUUGUCUGAAGCACAGUCUGAAUCUCAGCAAAAGGGUAUACUACCAACAUCUCUUUUUCUUGACCUUACUGGAGCAAACUCUCAACUCUCGUGACGAGGGAUAAUGUUUGGGUCACAGUCAACACUAGGCUUUGCUUUGCAAAUGAGCAAAAUGUCUACUGGGGCAUCUUGCUUCAGCAUGAGGAGCUUGGUGAAGAUGAUCACUCACGUUCUGGUGUUUGUAGUUCCUCCCAAGAAGAAGGACACACACUUUCCAGCAGAGGGCACAGCAUAGGAAGAGAAGACAAAACCCUGGAGCUCAAAAUGUGGAUCUUGGUGCUUCUGCUCAAGCAAUACGUCAGUCAGUGUUCAAAGAGCACAAGAGGCUUCCAUAGACCAAAGUCUGCCAGAGAGGGAGAGGGACAGUGAUCCAUGAGUGGCCUGACUGUUCCUGCCUACACCAGAGCUGCUAUGUCAUCUUAUCCUGUUGCCCUUCAGGAAAGGACAUUACUAUGAGCUGAACAAAGAGCACCAUGCAACUGCCCAGCAAUACCUACCUCGUACAUUAAGGCAGCUGAGGGCAGAGUAGAAAGAGAGGGUCUCAAUCAGCGUCCCAACCAGAUGUCUGAUAUUUGUACAUCGUGUCAUGCCUCCUCUCAGCCUGGUAGAUCUGAGCAGACUGGUUCCCGAAAGCAGGAUGGUCCUCAGAAGCCAGCAGUAAAGUUCAAGGAAGGCCUACAGCUUAAGAACAGAAACAGCAACAGCUCUUGUGCUCCAUUACAAUCCUGAACUGCAUUCAUGAAACCUCUUUGCGAGUGCUCUGGGUUUUCUGCUGAUUUAAAUUCAAUUGAAUUGACCAUCCAGUGUAACCAUUUACACCACUG